rnacentral:rRNA from 1 species
CGCGAAUCGCCCUUCGGGGUGCACCAGGCGCGAAAACUUUACAAUGCCGGCAACGGCGAUAAGGGAACCUCGAGUGCCAGGUUACAAAUCUGGCUGUCGUGAUGCCUAAAAAGCAUUGCAUAGCAAGGGCCGGGCAAGACCGGUGCCAGCCGCCGCGGUAACACCGGCGGCUCGAGUGGUAACCGUUAUUAUUGGGUCUAAAGGGUCUGUAGCCGGCCGGAUAAGUCUCUUGGGAAAUCUGGCAGCUUAACUGUCGGGCUUUCAGGAGAUACUGUCUGGCUCGAGGCCGGGAGAGGUGAGAGGUACUUCAGGGGUAGGGGUGAAAUCUUGUAAUCCUUGAAGGACCACCAGUGGCGAAGGCGUCUCACCAGAACGGACCUGACGGCAAGGGACGAAAGCUAGGGGCACGAACCGGAUUAGAUACCCGGGUAGUCCUAGCCGUAAACGAUACUCGCUAGGUGUCGGCCACGGUGCGACCGUGGUCGGUGCCGUAGGGAAGCCGUGAAGCGAGCCACCUGGGAAGUACGGCCGCAAGGCUGAAACUUAAAGGAAUUGGCGGGGGAGCAC